UACGGAGGGUGCAAGCGUUAUCCGGAUUCACUGGGUUUAAAGGGUGCGUAGGCGGGCAGGUAAGUCAGUGGUGAAAUCUCCGAGCUUAACUCGGAAACUGCCGUUGAUACUAUUUGUCUUGAAUAUUGUGGAGGUAAGCGGAAUAUGUCAUGUAGCGGUGAAAUGCAUAGAUACCAUAAAGAACCCCUAUUGCGAAGGCAGCUUACUAGGCUGUAACUGACGCUGAGGCACGAAAGCGUGGGGAUCAAACAGG
rnacentral:rRNA from 1 species